CUACAUGAAGCCGGAAUCGCUAGUAAUCGCGGAUCAGAAUGCCGCGGUGAAUACGUUCCCGGGUCUUGUACACACCGCCCGUCACACCAUGGGAGUCGGGAAUGCCCGAAGUCAGUGACCCAACCUUAGGGAGGGAGCUGCCGAAGGCAGGCCUGGUGACUGGGGUGAAGUCGUAACAAGGUAGC
rnacentral:rRNA from 1 species